GAUGAAGAACACAGCGAAAUGCGAUAAGUAAUGUGAAUUGCAGAAUUCAGUGAAUCAUCGAAUCUUUGAACGCACAUUGCGCCCGUUAGCAUUCUAGCGGGCAUGCCUGUCCGAGCGUCAUUUCAACCCUCAGGGUCCCCGUUCCGGCGGGGAACCUGGUGUUGGGGAUCGGCCCGCCCCGUGCGGCGCCGUCCCCCAAAUUCAGUGGCGGUCUCGCUGCAGCCUCCCCUGCGUAGUAGUUACAACCUCGCAUCGGAGCUCAGCGCGGCCACGCCGUAAAACCCCCGACUUUCUGAACGUUGACCUCGGAUCAGGUAGGAAUACCCGCUGAACUUAAGCAUAUCAAUAAGCGGAGGA
rnacentral:misc_RNA from 1 species